AUUGCUUCUUGGCCUUUUGGCUAAGAUCAAGUGUAGAAACUAAAUGAUAUUAAAGUACAUAGUAGUCAUACAAAUAAUUGGUUAAUAUGAUUAAAUACAAAAUUAUUUUAUUCUAUUGAGACCAGCUUAUACAAGGUCAGAAACAGGAACUCUAA
rnacentral:snRNA from 1 species